CGCCUAUUCACUUUUUCAAAUUUUACUAGUUUCCAGUCCGCUCCUCGCACGUUUCGCUCUGCCGGGUCAGCGACUGGCUCUACUUCUCCUGCGAGAAUGACUACCAUCCUCCGCUUACCGCUGGCUCGUCGGAUCCUCUCUUUGCUUCUUGGAAGGCGCUUGCUGUGGAUCUGUUUGAUGAGCCAGCAACACCCAUAUGGUCUCCUUCCCCUUCAGCUCUCUUCGGCUUGCUUGUUGGUCCACCUCCGCUGCCGAAGGAAAAGGUCUGUGAGUCCUGGGUCUCCCUUUGGGAAUCCAAAGGGCUGAUACUUGUUAGCUGCUCGGGUAAGGGGUCCUUUUUUGCUGAUUUCGUCUCCUCUGAAGUUCGUGGCAACAUCCUCUCUGCGUCUCCCUGGUGGUAUGAUGAUGUUCUUCCACAUCUGGGUCUACAUGCCCUUGAGUUUCCUGCGUCGGCCAAAGAACUUGACUCGAUCCCCAUUUGGGUAUAGGUCUCCUUUGUUUCUGAGGAAGCAUUCUCCUUUCCCAAUAUACAAAUUGCUGCCUCUUGCCUCGGUAAAGUGCUUCUGCUGGUUCCUGCCGCUGUGAACGUCAGUUUUCCUGCGGGUACGGCUCGAGUCAAGAUCAAUUUCAAGAAAUCCAGGUCAUUAUGUCUGAUCUCUAAAUUAUCUCUUCCCAACGGAUCAGUUUCAGUUCGAGCUUCUUCAUCUGUGUUUCCUUUGUGGAAGGAUCACACAUACUGAUGGUUCUUGUAGCUAUGUUUCCAAGUCUGGCAAAGGUAGGAAGUCUAGUUCUCUCUUCCGUGAAGCCCUUACCAGUCCUCUGUUUGUCAAUUGCUGCCCGUUCUCUGUCUUAGCGGAUACGUUUUCUUGAGGCCCAAUGCCGAUGUGGCUAGUGUAUCAAAUAUUCCUGUGUAUUUGGUCACACCGGUAAGCGGCUCUGAGCCGCUUCCAACACCGGUUCUGGGCGGAGGCAUUAAUGAUUCACUAAACCAUCUGGCCACUGGGGAGACCAUGUUGAUGAAUGCACCCCGCUUUCCUGAACCUGCAACUUGCUCUUUGAACCAAAACGGCAUGAAUGAUCCGUUCUGGCCACAGUUUCCACUCUCUCUUGACCCGAAGGGACCACCUCCUUUCCCUAGUAUGGCUGAGAACGGACCAACUCUGUUUCUAUCAUCGAUGGAUAUCAACCAUUGUAAUAAUCAGACCCCCAUUAACCCAGUCUCCUCCACCCUAUGCGACAAUACACCUCUUUUAGCCAAUGACCAAAUUGAGACUGUACCGCCACCCAACCCUCAACCCAUCCCACCACCCAACCCACCUCCCCCUACAACUACGCUGGCACCUUCUCCGGCGGUUUCUUCCGAGCUUUCGGAUCGCCCCUCUUCUCCUACUCUUGAACUCCCAAAUGUCCGUUUUCGUCAUAAGCAGGUCUCAAUCCAGUACUUCUUGAGACCUUCUGAUCGUGUCCCUCGUCCAUUCUAUUCCUCUUGGGAGAAUGAGCCAGUCCUGGGCCGUGGCAGGAAAGGACUGAGACACCUUUCUUCCGACUCGUCUUCCAUUGAUCUACUUGAAGAACUUAUUGCCAGAUGAUCCUAACAACACCCUUUCACAACUUUUGGAUCGUUUUAAGGUGAAGGACACACGACAUGCUUCCGAUGCUCCCCCAACGAACAAUGAACCACAGCAUACAGAGGUGGGACCAUCCAAUCUAGAGAGGGCUGCGGAAACCACCAUUCAGGAUCGGGUGCACAUGCUCUUCUCCUUGCUCUCAAUGGUGGCAAUUUUUUUGGAAACUCAAUGUACAUCCAAAACUUAAGGUGUUCUUUUGGAGAUUGGCUCUACAAGGAAUACCUACAAAGAAUUUGUUGGGCAAAUGGAUAGACCUGGAUCCAUCAUGUGAUCUAUGUUAUGAAGGGCAAGAGGAUAUUCAACAUAUCUUUUUUUCAUGCAAUUUUUCAAGGAGAAUUUGGUCUGCAGGUCCUUUGGGACUACGAAGUAAAUGGCGAGGCUUCUGAAUCGGCUGCGAAGGGAACCUUAGUUGGAUUAGUAGAGGCUCUACAAAUGGGAUGGGCUGUUAAGGAGAUUUGGUGCGACAUGCCCGAUUUUGCAAAGCUAAUGAACCCUAACCAUUUUUUGAUGUGGCCAUGAUCCAUGAUAACUAGUAGAAUUGAAAUACAGAAACUCCUAUUUGCUCCAGAUUUUGUACUUAAAACAUCUAACACUUAUCCUAUCUACAUCCUUAAAUCGGUUGCUUCUCAAGUUGCAACAUCUAAAGGACUGUCUAUAACAAUUUUGAUCUUAUUUAUAUGUAAUGAAACUUAUUUCUUCUUCUAAAAAAAAAAAAACUAGACACCGGGCCCAUAAUUCCAACUCAGUGCUCAACAGAAGAUCAGGGUAGUCCCUGCUGGGCUUCAAAUUCAAGAUUGGUGGGUCUAAAUAAGUAGGAACCCAUGGAGGAAUAUGAUAUUCUUAAAGGAAUGGUCUUUACUCUUUUUCUUUUAAUACAAGGGUGCAGAGUUCCAAUUUCAUUUUAGCUUGGCCUCCAAAAUGGGGACCGCAUUUAUAAGCCCAUGGGUCUUUCUCUCUCUCCUUUUUGUUUUUUUUUUACCAGCUACUUUUUAUGGUUAAGGUCAGAUGUUGGGUCUAUGUUAGUCCUCAAAGAGACAGACUUCUAGUUGGUAACUUAGGGAGUUUUGAUUAGGUAAAGAACAUGCCACACAUUUGAACUCUGUUACUUAUUCCUUCCUUUUUUGUCUUUAUUGUGUACAAGCUAUACAGAGACUGGAUGGAGUAUGGAAGCAAAGUAAAGUGUAUUUGAAUUUUUUUUUUGCU